CCUACGGGUGGCAGCAAUUAGGAAUCUUGCGCAAUGGGCGAAAGCCUGACGCAGCGACGCCGCGUGACUGAUGAAGUCUUUCGGGAUGUAAAGGUCUUUUCUGAAGGAAGAAAAAAAUGACGGUACUUCAGGAAUAAGCCCCGGCUAACUACGUGCCAGCAGCCGCGGUAAUACGUAGGGGGCGAGCGUUGUCCGAAUUCACUGGGCGUGAAGCGCGCGUAGGCGGGGUAUGAAGUUGGUGGUGAAAUCCCGAGGCUCAACCUCGGAACUGCCGUCCAAACUGAUAGCCGAGAGGUUUGGAGAGGGAACUGGAAUUCCAGGUGUAGCGGUGAAAUGCGUAGAUAUCUGGAGGAACACCCAUGGCGAAGGCAGGUUCCUGGCCAUAUCCUGACGCUGAGGUGCGAAAGCUAGGGUAGCGAACG
rnacentral:rRNA from 1 species